AAUUUGGUUCCGUCGAGGCGUUUGAUUGACAACGAGGCGAGUGUCUGAACAGUCCGAAACUGCAAUGGAAGGCGCUCAAGUUUCGCACAACGAACCUACACGAAGUUAGUUAAGGCAUGGGUCACCGGAUUCGUGCGCAGGAGACAAAGAUUGGCACAAGAGAUUGCUGAUGUUGAAAUGGAUACUGGGUUUAAGCCGGGAGUUCCAGCCCUGAAUCACCCAGAUCACACCAGGCACAAGUGAUCUGUUACAUGAUGGAGCAGGCAUUAGGGUUCUCAUCACUGAAAAUGUCUGGGGCAUAUGAUUGAUUGAAUCGCUGAUAUGAAGCACCCUGAUUAAUGUAACCUCGGAGAGACCAGCUGGUCACAUUUCU